AUUGAACGCUGGCGGCGUGCUUAACACAUGCAAGUCGAGCGGUAAGGCCCCUUCGGGGGUACACGAGCGGCGAACGGGUGAGUAACACGUGAGCAAUCUGCCCUUCACACGGGGAUAACCACCGGAAACGGUGGCUAAUACCCGAUACGACCACUUCAGGCAUCUGAUGGUGGUGGAAAGUUCCGGCGGUGGAGGAUGAGCUCGCGGCCUAUCAGCUUGUUGGUGGGGUAAUGGCCUACCAAGGCAACGACGGGUAGCCGGCCUGAGAGGGUGACCGGCCACACUGGGACUGAGACACUGCCCAGACUCCUACGGGAGGCAGCAGUGGGGAAUAUUGGACAAUGGGCGAAAGCCUGAUCCAGCAACGCCGCGUGAGGGAUGACGGCCUUCGGGUUGUAAACCUCUUUCAGCAGGGACGAAGCGCAAGUGACGGUACCUGCAGAAGAAGCACCGGCCAACUACGUGCCAGCCGCCGCAGUAAGAC
rnacentral:rRNA from 1 species